rnacentral:rRNA from 1 species
GAUGAACGCUGGCGGCGUGCUUAACACAUGCAAGUCGAACGGAAAGGCCCAAGCUUGCUUGGGUACUCGAGUGGCGAACGGGUGAGUAACACGUGGGUGAUCUGCCCUGCACUUCGGGAUAAGCCUGGGAAACUGGGUCUAAUACCGGAUAGGACGAUGGUUUGGAUGCCAUUGUGGAAAGUUUUUUCGGUGUGGGAUGAGCUCGCGGCCUAUCAGCUUGUUGGUGGGGUAAUGGCCUACCAAGGCGUCGACGGGUAGCCGGCCUGAGAGGGUGUACGGCCACAUUGGGACUGAGAUACGGCCCAGACUCCUACGGGAGGCAGCAGUGGGGAAUAUUGCACAAUGGGCGCAAGCCUGAUGCAGCGACGCCGCGUGGGGGAUGACGGCCUUCGGGUUGUAAACUCCUUUCGCUAGGGACGAAGCGUUUUGUGACGGUACCUGGAGAAGAAGCACCGGCUAACUACGU